rnacentral:rRNA from 1 species
UCGGGAANCUUUCGCAAUGGGCCGAACCCUGACGACGCGACGCCGCGUGCGAUGAUGAAGGCCUUCGGGUUGUAAACUCCUGUCAUCAGGGGAAAACAAGCAAAAGUGCGGAACUGAGACGGNAUCCUCAAAGGACGCCC